UUUUAUUAAGAAAAUGAAUUUGAGGAUUUGCUACGUGCUUAUGUUAUUGAUUGUGGCCAUGUGUGAACUACGAGUAUCGCGGGCUGUGUCUCAAAGUAAAUUGCAAUGCCGCCGCGAUUGCAGUGAACAUUGUCUCUUAUACUCCAAAAUAUCUGGUGUCUGUUUGCAUAAGUCCUGCCAAUGCGGAGGACAAAUCUUGUAUCCGUAAUCAGUAAAAAAAGGAGUGGCCGAAGCAAAACCGCGGUUACCUUGCCGCUUGGAUUGCAACUUGCUGUGUCAGCAGCGCGGAAAGAACUCUGGGGUUUGUUUGCGCGGUCACUGCCAUUGUAGGAGUCGAGUCUCUACCUGAGACCCAAUUAAACAUGUAAUUUA